UUAGCUAGUUGGUGAGGUAACUGCUCACCAAGGCUACGAUGUUUAGGGGGUCUGAGAGGAUGGUCCCCCACACUGGUACUGAGACACGGACCAGACUCCUGCGGGAGGCAGCAGUGAGGAAUAUUGGUCAAUGGGCGAAAGCCUGAACCAGCCAUGCCGCGUGAAGGAUGACGGCCCUAUGGGUUGUAAACUUCUUUUAUACGGGAAGAAACCUCUCUACGUGUAGAGGGUUGACGGUACCGUACGAAUAAGCAUCGGCUAACUCCGUGCCAGCAGCCGCGGUAAUACGGAGGAUGCAAGCGUUAUCCGGAUUCAUUGGGUCUAAAGGGUGCGCAGGCGGAGAAUUAAGUCAGUGGUGAAAUCCUGCAGCUUAACUGUAGAAUUGUCAUUGAUACUGGUUUUCUUGAAUGCAGUUGAGGUAGGCGGAAUGUGUAAUGUAGCGGUGAAAUGCUUAGAUAUUACCCAGAACACCGAUUGCGAAGGCAGCUUACUAAACUGUGAUUGACGCUGAGGCACGAAAGCGUGGGGAGCGAACAGGAUUAGAUACCCUGGUAGUCCACGCUGUAAACUAUGAUCACUCGUUGUUGGCAAUACAUCGUCAGCGACUGAGCGAAAGCAUUAAGUGAUCCACCUGGGGAGUACGAUCGCAAGAUUGAAACUCAAAGGAAUUGACGGGGGCCCGCACAAGCGGAGGAACAUGUGGUUUAAUUCGAUGAUACGCGAGGAACCUUACCUGGGCUUAAAUGCAUAACGACGGACCGGGAAACUGGUCUUUCUUCGGACGGCAUGCAAGGUGCUGCAUGGCUGUCGUCAGCUCGUGCCGUGAGGUGUCGGGUUAAGUCCCAUAACGAGCGCAACCCUUAUCAUUAGUUGCCAGCGGGUAAUGCCGGGGACUCUAAUGAAACUGCCGGUGUAAACCGAGAGGAAGGUGGGGAUGACGUCAAGUCAGCACGGCCCUUAUGUCCAGGGCUACACACGUGUUACAAUGGUCAGUACAGAGGGAAGCUACCAGGCGACUGGAUGCUAAUCUCAAAAACUGGUCUCAGUUCGGAUCGGAGUCUGCAACUCGACUUCGUGAAGUUGGAUUCGCUAGUAAUCGCGCAUCAGCCAUGGCGCGGUGAAUACGUUCCC
rnacentral:rRNA from 1 species